rnacentral:rRNA from 1 species
CAACGUAGGUAAUCUACCUUCGGGUGGGGAAUAACCCAGGGAAACUUGGGCUAACACCGCAUAAUGCAGCGGCACCACAUGGUGACAGUUGUUAAAGCGCGGGAUUUUCGGACCUCGCGCCUGAAGAGGAGCCUGCGGCGGAUUAGCUUGUUGGUAAGGUAACGGCUUACCAAGGCGACGAUCCGUAGCCGGCCUGAGAGGGCGGUCGGCCACACUGACACUGACAUACGGGUCAG